rnacentral:rRNA from 1 species
UACGAAGGGUGCAAACGUUGCUCGGAAUUAUUGGGCGUAAAGCGCACGUAGGCGGCUUUGUGUGUCGGAUGUGAAAUCCCUCGGCUUAACCAAGGAAGUGCAUUCGAAACUGCAAAGCUUGAGUACUUAAGAGGAUCGCGGAAUUCCCGGUGUAGAGGUGAAAUUCGUAGAUAUCGGGAGGAACACCAGUGGCGAAGGCGGAGCUCACUGGCCCGGUAGUCGGACGACUGACGGUGCGGAAAGCGAUGGGGAGCAAAGCUGGGGAAUUAAAGCAA